GACUGUACACUCUCCCACCUCCAUGCAUGCAGUCCGGUUACGCCAAACAGCUAUUUGUGUGCUUGCUGGUUAUUUUUUUUAUCCAGAGUUACCAUAAACAAAAUUAUGAGAAAACUAAAUUAUAAACAAUUAGGAAUACAGUGGGAAAGAAAAAAAGAAAAUCGGAUUAUAAAUUAAAAAAAGAGUUUCAAGUAUUAUAAAAUGGGCGAAAUAAUUAACUGUAUGAGAGACAUGACAAAAAAGAAAAAAGAAAAUGUGAGAGUAUGGAAACGACACUCAAGAAGAAGCUAUCCUAUGCGGAUAUCAUUAGUUGAGCUAUUGAGA
rnacentral:lncRNA from 1 species